UACGUAGGGCGCAAGCGUUGUCCGGAAUUAUUGGGCGUAAAGAGCUCGUAGGCGGCUUGUCACGUCGGGUGUGAAAGCUCGGGGCUUAACCCCGGGCCUGCAGUGGGUACGGGCAGACUAGAGUGCGGUAGGGGAGACUGGAAUUCCUGGUGUAGCGGUGAAAUGCGCAGAUAUCAGGAGGAACACCGGUGGCGAAGGCGGCUCUCUGGAACGCAACUGACGCUGAGACGCGAAAGCGUGGGGAGCAAACAGG
rnacentral:rRNA from 1 species